rnacentral:tRNA from 1 species
UCUAAUAUGGCAGAAAAGUGCACUGGAUUUAAGCCCCAAAUAUAAAGAAUAUAAACUUUUAUUAGAA